AGGGUUUUAGUUUAAUAGGUAGAACGUGGUGCUACGGACACUUCAAUGGCGGUUCAAAUCCGCCAUACCCUU
rnacentral:tRNA from 1 species